rnacentral:lncRNA from 1 species
AACACAGGGCUAGCGUAGGGAGACCAGGCUAACACAGGGCUAGCGUAGGGAUACCAGGCUAACACAGGGCUAGCAGAGGGAUACCAGGCUAACACAGGGCUAGCGUAGGUAGACCAGGCCAACACAGGGCUAGCGUAGGGAUACCAGGCUAACACAGAGCUAGCUUAGGGAUACCAGACUAAUACAGGGCUAGCAUAGGGAUACCAGGCUAACACAGAGCUAGCUUAGGGAUACCAGACUAAUACAGGGCUAGCAGAGGGAUACCAGGCUAACACAGAGCUAGCUUAGGGAUACCAGACUAAUACAGGGCUAGCAGAGGGAUACCAGGCUAACACAGAGCUAGCAUAGGGAUACCAGGCUAACACAGGGCUAGCAUAGGGAGACCAGGCUAACACAGGGCUAGCGUAGGGAUACCAGGCUAACACAGGGCUAGCAUAAGGAGACCAGGCUAACACAGGGCUAGCAUAGGGAUACCAGGCUAACACAGGGCUAGCAUUGGGAGACCAAUAGUCUUUUUGUAGGCACUAAUGGAUGCUAACUCCAACUUCAUUGGCCAGAGACUUUGGGGAAAUGAAUGGGGGUUUUGGAUGGGUUUUUAAAGACUUUGGGGAAAUGCAGAACAUGAGGUCUGUGGUAAACACAGGCUUAUGAGAUAUUAUCAGUUUUGUUCAGCUAACAUCAGUUUGAUGACUAAGACCCAGGAACAGUUUCCCCAGAUCAGGUGACAUGGUUCAGGAACAGUCUCCCCAGGUCAGGUGACAUGGUUCAGGAAGAGUCUCCCCAGGUCAGGUGACAUGGUUAGGGAAGAGUUUUCCCCAGGUCAGGUGACGUGGUUCAGGAAGAGUUUCCUUAGGUCAGGUGAAAUGGUUCAGGAACAGUCUCCCCAGGUCAGGUGACAGGUCAGGUGAAAUGGUUCAGGUCAGGUGAAAUGGUUCAGGAAGAGUCUCCCCAGGUCAGGUGACAUGGUUCAGGUCAGGUGAAAUGGUUCAGGAACAGUCUCCCCAGGUCAGGUGACAUGGUUCAGGAAGAGUUUCCCCAGGUCAGGUGAAAUGGUUCAGGAACAGUCUCCCCAGGUCAGGUGACAUGGUUCAGGAAGAGUUUCCCCAGGUCAGGUGACAUGGUUCAGGAAGAGUUUUCCCAGGUCAGUAAAAACUCUGGGUCCUAGGGUAAAUGAACGAUAGGGUCCCGGAGUCGUGGUCAAGAGAGAGACCUGCCAGUAUGGUUGUUACACACGGCAUCACUAGAUUAAGUCAAAGUCAUUACAACAGGAAAACCAAGGCUGAC